ACUAUCAUUAACUGAAUCCAUAGGUUAAUGAGGCGAACCGGGGGAACUGAAACAUCUAAGUACCCCGAGGAAAAGAAAUCAACCGAGAUUCCCCCAGUAGCGGCGAGCGAACGGGGAGCAGCCCAGAGCCUGAAUCAGUGUGUGUGUUAGUGGAAGCGUCUGGAAAGGCGCGCGAUACAGGGUGACAGCCCCGUACACAAAAAUGCACAUACUGUGAGCUCGAUGAGUAGGGCGGGACACGUGGUAUCCUGUCUGAAUAUGGGGGGACCAUCCUCCAAGGCUAAAUACUCCUGACUGACCGAUAGUGAACCAGUACCGUGAGGGAAAGGCGAAAAGAACCCCGGCGAGGGGAGUGAAAAAGAACCUGAAACCGUGUACGUACAAGCAGUGGGAGCCUCUUUAUGGGGUGACUGCGUACCUUUUGUAUAAUGGGUCAGCGACUUAUAUUCUGUAGCAAGGUUAACCGAAUAGGGGAGCCGAAGGGAAACCGAGUCUUAACUGGGCGUUAAGUUGCAGGGUAUAGACCCGAAACCCGGUGAUCUAGCCAUGGGCAGGUUGAAGGUUGGGUAACACUAACUGGAGGACCGAACCGACUAAUGUUGAAAAAUUAGCGGAUGACUUGUGGCUGGGGGUGAAAGGCCAAUCAAACCGGGAGAUAGCUGGUUCUCCCCGAAAGCUAUUUAGGUAGCGCCUCGUGAAUUCAUCUCCGGGGGUAGAGCACUGUUUCGGCAAGGGGGUCAUCCCGACUUACCAACCCGAUGCAAACUGCGAAUACCGGAGAAUGUUAUCACGGGAGACACACGGCGGGUGCUAACGUCCGUCGUGAAGAGGGAAACAACCCAGACCGCCAGCUAAGGUCCCAAAGUCAUGGUUAAGUGGGAAACGAUGUGGGAAGGCCCAGACAGCCAGGAUGUUGGCUUAGAAGCAGCCAUCAUUUAAAGAAAGCGUAAUAGCUCACUGGUCGAGUCGGCCUGCGCGGAAGAUGUAACGGGGCUAAACCAUGCACCGAAGCUGCGGCAGCGACGCUUAUGCGUUGUUGGGUAGGGGAGCGUUCUGUAAGCCUGUGAAGGUGUACUGUGAGGUAUGCUGGAGGUAUCAGAAGUGCGAAUGCUGACAUAAGUAACGAUAAAGCGGGUGAAAAGCCCGCUCGCCGGAAGACCAAGGGUUCCUGUCCAACGUUAAUCGGGGCAGGGUGAGUCGACCCCUAAGGCGAGGCCGAAAGGCGUAGUCGAUGGGAAACAGGUUAAUAUUCCUGUACUUGGUGUUACUGCGAAGGGGGGACGGAGAAGGCUAUGUUGGCCGGGCGACGGUUGUCCCGGUUUAAGCGUGUAGGCUGGUUUUCCAGGCAAAUCCGGAAAAUCAAGGCUGAGGCGUGAUGACGAGGCACUACGGUGCUGAAGCAACAAAUGCCCUGCUUCCAGGAAAAGCCUCUAAGCAUCAGGUAACAUCAAAUCGUACCCCAAACCGACACAGGUGGUCAGGUAGAGAAUACCAAGGCGCUUGAGAGAACUCGGGUGAAGGAACUAGGCAAAAUGGUGCCGUAACUUCGGGAGAAGGCACGCUGAUAUGUAGGUGAAGUCCCUCGCGGAUGGAGCUGAAAUCAGUCGAAGAUACCAGCUGGCUGCAACUGUUUAUUAAAAACACAGCACUGUGCAAACACGAAAGUGGACGUAUACGGUGUGACGCCUGCCCGGUGCCGGAAGGUUAAUUGAUGGGGUUAGCGGUAACGCGAAGCUCUUGAUCGAAGCCCCGGUAAACGGCGGCCGUAACUAUAACGGUCCUAAGGUAGCGAAAUUCCUUGUCGGGUAAGUUCCGACCUGCACGAAUGGCGUAAUGAUGGCCAGGCUGUCUCCACCCGAGACUCAGUGAAAUUGAACUCGCUGUGAAGAUGCAGUGUACCCGCGGCAAGACGGAAAGACCCCGUGAACCUUUACUAUAGCUUGACACUGAACAUUGAGCCUUGAUGUGUAGGAUAGGUGGGAGGCUUUGAAGUGUGGACGCCAGUCUGCAUGGAGCCGGCCUUGAAAUACCACCCUUUAAUGUUUGAUGUUCUAACGUUGGCCCCUGAUCGGGGUUGCGGACAGUGUCUGGUGGGUAGUUUGACUGGGGCGGUCUCCUCCUAAAGAGUAACGGAGGAGCACGAAGGUUGGCUAAUCCUGGUCGGACAUCAGGAGGUUAGUGCAAUGGCAUAAGCCAGCUUGACUGCGAGCGUGACGGCGCGAGCAGGUGCGAAAGCAGGUCAUAGUGAUCCGGUGGUUCUGAAUGGAAGGGCCAUCGCUCAACGGAUAAAAGGUACUCCGGGGAUAACAGGCUGAUACCGCCCAAGAGUUCAUAUCGACGGCGGUGUUUGGCACCUCGAUGUCGGCUCAUCACAUCCUGGGGCUGAAGUAGGUCCCAAGGGUAUGGCUGUUCGCCAUUUAAAGUGGUACGCGAGCUGGGUUUAGAACGUCGUGAGACAGUUCGGUCCCUAUCUGCCGUGGGCGCUGGAGAACUGAGGGGGGCUGCUCCUAGUACGAGAGGACCGGAGUGGACGCAUCACUGGUGUUCGGGUUGUCAUGCCAAUGGCACUGCCCGGUAGCUAAAUGCGGAAGAGAUAAGUGCUGAAAGCAUCUAAGCACGAAACUUGCCCCGAGAUGAGUUCU
rnacentral:rRNA from 1 species